ACAUUCUCUGAUUCUGCAAAAGCAGGUGGGAGCCCUAGAGAGAGUUCUCGUUUUUUUUUUUUUUUUUUUUUUUCUUUUUUGAGAUGGAGUCUCGCUUAGAGGCUCAGGAUGGAGCCCAAUGGAGCAAUCUCGGCUCACUGCAACAUCCGCUUCCUGGUUUCAGGCGAUUCUACUGCCUCAGCCUACCGAGGAGCUGGGUUAACAGGCACCCGUUAUUAUGCCCAGCUAAUUUUUGUAUUUUCAUAGAGACAGGGUUUAACCAUGUUGGCCACGCUGGACUCGAACUCCUGCCAUCAGGUGAUCCGUCAGCCUCAGCCUUUCAAUGUGCCGGGAUUACAGGCGUGAGCCACUGUGGCCAGCGAGUUCUCUUUUCUUUGUGAAGGGCAAGGCAAAGUGGAAUGGAUUCAUCUAAAAGCGGAGUGCAUGCCCUGGAAAACAUCAUGGUUAGACCCAUGUGAGACAGGUUAGUUUUACUGCGUGUGUUCUCCAUGUGUUGUUGCCCAUGUGUUGCUACCAUGGUAAUCCUGCUGAGUAUGAGAGGAAUCAAAGUUUCACACAUUUGGUGUAUGUGCUUGACUGAGGAACCAAUGGGGUGAAGCUACCAUCUGUGGGAUUAUGACUGAACGCCUCUAAAUCAGAAUCCCGCCCAGAAGAAAGGAUGCAGCAGCGCUGGCAAGACUCGGUUGGCCUCAGAUAGCCAGUCCCCAGCCUUUGCCACCGGCCGGACGCUCCGCCCCGCUGUGCGCCAAGACCUUGCUCCGGUCUUAUCAUCCUAAAAAAUGGGGUGCGGCCCCCCAUCCUAAAAAACGGGGUGCGGCCAGAAAGGCGUUUGCUCCCUGGCCCGUCACAUAACAUGCUUAUGGGGAAUCUGAUACUAAACUAUUGGUAAACGCCCUGCUUCUGGGUCAGGGUUUCCUAUGGAGCAGAGCAACUCCCUCACUGCAACCUAUUGAAAGUCAGCCCUCCACACAAGGGGCUCUCAACCAGUGUGCGGGAAAACUAGCGUUGUGGCGUGUCCUGUAUAAUUCAGCCCUGGACCUCUACCUUCCUUCUUUCCUCCUUUUGCCCCCGGGGACUUAGUUCCCGGGCCUGCUCAGGCCCCCCGCCCCGGAGCCCCAGGGCAUGCAGGGCUGUCUCUCGCGAGAUAACAUUGGCGUCGGCCGUGCAUUUGGGAGGGGUCGUUCCCCAACAGCAGGCUUUCCAAGAUGCAGCGCUGGGGGUUGCGAGGUAGGGUUGGCGCCCCUGCUCGAUGUUCCACCUCUCUGAUUGAGCUUCUUUCUCCCAUCCCGCUGGGAAUUCCUCCACGAGUUGGGACCGGAUUCUUCGAGCCUCGUGCGAAUGGCUGAGGCGCGGGUGUCAGAGGUUUUGCCCCUGCAGUCCCUGCCUGAGUAGUGUUCGCGCGAUGCCCGUGGGUGGCUGUUGGGGUCACAGUCCCUCUCCCCGCCUCAGGGGUGCUGGGAUGAAAGACUAGCUAGUCACUACCCUUGUGUCUUUACUCCUCUUCUCUGUCCGGGUCAACCAGCGGACUGCGGGGAAAUGGCUGGCAGGUCUGCCAAGUUAGACGGCCUCAAACCUGGGCCGGUUCUGUGUGAUAAGGUUCCAACUGCGUCUGAUCGCUUCCCUCCGCGAGCACCACAUUUGGUCUUUAGGGUGGACCCUGUCGAUUAGAUGCUGGCCUUUGGCUUCCCGAUCAGCCCGCGAAUCAGCCGACUGCGGGAAGCAAGCAACAUCCAGUUGACACGGCCGCGGGCUUCUCUGUCUGGAAGACCUGGGACCAGGGCCUAAGGCCCCAGUCCUCAGGUCUCUGGUCGCCGUGCCCACCUGAUGUCCGCGGCAAGCGUUGGACUUGACCGUCAACUUGGGAUUUCUAAGGUAGACCAGAUAACUUUGGUCAGCAGCAGUACCGCCCGCAUUCACUAGGUGUCGCUUUUUCCUUGCGUUGUUUCUUCCUCUCCAACUGUUUCCACAGUACUUUCAGUUUCUCUUCGUUUUGUUUUUCUUUUAUUUUUCUUGCUCCUCUUUCUACACACUGAAGUUGCUGUUGUUUUACAUUUACCUUUUAUUUAUUUGUAGUUUUUGAGGCAGGUUGGAGUGUAAGAAUGCAAUCUCGGCUUACAGCCGCCUCGACUUUCCAGGACUCCCUCAGGUGAUCUUCCUAUCUCAGCCUUCCAAGUGGCUGAGACUACAGGAAUCACUUAAUUCUGUGAUGUCGAAGCUGAAGUGAGCCGUGAUGAUGCCUUGCCCUCCAGUCUGAGUGUUUCAGAAGGUGGAGUUUCGCUCUUAUUGCCCAGGCUGGAGUUCAGUGGCGUGACCUCAGCUCACCGCAACCUCUGCCGCCUGUGUUCAAGAGAUUUUCCAGUCUUCACCCUUUCGAGUAGCUGAAACCACAGGCAAACACCUCCAGGCCUGGCUAAUUUUUUUUUUUUCAUAGAGACUAGGUAGCUCCAUAAUGGUCAGGCUGGUCUAGAACACCCAACCUGAGGCGUACCACCCAACUUGACCACCCAAAGUGCUGAGAUUAAAGGCGUGAGCUCCGCGUCUGGCCAUAACAUCUUAUCCUAUAGAAGCCCAGAGAGGUUAGGUAUGUAGUCCCUGAGACCAGCCUUCCUUGGAUGAACUCCAAAGUGAUGGCUGAGGAUUAGGGAGUGUGGGGUGGGGGCUGGAAAGUCGGUCCCCUAUUGUUGCUACCUAGGCCAUGACAUCCCCAUACUCCCAUCGCCUGCUCACCGUUUGAGAUUCCCCCCCACCACCGCCUUGGUGGCUGAACUCUUACUUUAAUUUCUGUCUUUCUUCGUUUGUUGGGUUUCAGGAGGGGGUGCAGGAAAGACGGUGUGCGUGGGGAGGGGGUGUAGGGUGGGGAUGGAGGGGAGCGUCCUAAGGGUCGAUGUAGUGUCAUGCCUCUUUCAUCACCACCACCGAAGAUGAAACAAUAAUCAUCUAAAUACCGCGUGUUCUCACACAUAAGUGGGAACUACAUAAUGAGAAUGCAUGCGAAGAACUAGGGGGACGAGAGACGCAGGAGCCUACCUGAGGGAGGACGUGUGGAAGGACAGACAGCUUCAGGACAAAGCAAAACGAGCAGAACACAAAAACUGUAGGGGACUGCGCUGAGAAUCCGGGUGAGGAAAUCAUCGGCACACUGAACCCCCUACUCAGAAGUUUACCUAUGAAACAAUCUUGCACAUGUAUGCUUCAAAAACAAAUAACAGUUAGGGAAGAAAGAGAGAGAGAGAGAAAGAGAGAGAGACAAGUAAAAUAAAGCACCACCUCCUUGACCUGACUCAGGGCGUUUGGGGUCUUCUGGGGAAAUGUUCUGAAACAAUGGAGUAUUUUGGUCUGUUCUUUCUUGUGUCUUUUUUUUUUUUUAAGACGGACUCUCGCUCAGCCACCCAGGCUGGAAUGCAGUGGUGCACUGGGUUCACUGCAGCAAAUAUCUCCCGGGUUGAAGCGAUUCUCCAGUCUCAUCCUCCUGAGUGGCCGGGAUUACAGUCACGCGCCAUAAUGCCCUGCUAAUUUUUGAACAUUAGUAGAGAAGGGGUAUUGCCAUGCUUGCGACGCUGGACUUGAAGGCAAAAUGAAAAUGAAAAUGAAACGCAACAAAAUAAUUAAAAAGUGAGUUUCUGGGGAAAAAGAAGAAAAGAAAAAAGAAAAAAACAACAAAACAGAACAACCCCACCGUGACGUACACAUACGCCUCUCGCCUUUCGAGGCCUCAAACACGUUAGGAAUUAUGCGUGAUUUCUUUUUUUAACUUCAUUUUAUGUUAUUAUCGUGAUUGAUGUUUCGAGACGGAGUCUCGGAGGCCCGCCCUCCCUGGUUGCCCAGACAACCCCGGGAGACAGACCCUGGCUGGGCCCGAUUGUUCUUCUCCUUGGUCAGGGGUUUCCUUGUCUUUCUUCGUGUCUUUAACCCGCGUGGACUCUUCCGCUCGGGUUUGACAGAUGGCAGCUCCACUUUAGGCCUUGUUGUUGUUGGGGACUUUCCUGAUUCUCCCCAGAUGUAGUGAAAGCAGGUAGAUUUGCCUUGCCUGGCCUUGCCUGGCCUUGCCUUUUCUUUCUUUCUUUCUUUCUUUAUUACUUUCUCUUUUUCUUCUUCUUCUUCUUCUUUUUUUUGAGACAGAGUUUCACUCUUGUUGCCCAGGCUAGAGGGCAAUGGCGCGAUCUCGGCUCACCGCACCCUCCGCCUCCCAGGUUCAAGCGAUUCUCCUGCCUCAGCCUCCUGAUUAGCUGGGAUUACAGGCAUGGGCCACCGUGCCUGGCUGAUGUUUGUACUUUUAGUAGAGACGGUGUUUUUCCAUGUUGGUCAGGCUGGUCUCCCACUCCCAACCUCAGGUGGUCCGCCUGCCUUAGCCUCCCAAAGUGCUGGGAUGACAGGCGUGAGCCACCGCGCCCAGCCUCUCUCUCUCUCUCUCUCUCUCUCUCUCUCUCGCUCGCUUGCUUGCUUGCUUUCGUGCUUUCUUCCUUUCCCGUUUUCUUUCUUUCUUUCUUUCUUUCGUUUCUUUCAUGCUUGCUUUCUUGCUUGCUUGCUUGCUUUCGUGCUUUCUUGCUUUCCUGUUUUCUUUCUUUCUUUCUUUCUUUUGUUUCUUUCUUGCUUGCUUUCUUGCUUGCUUGCUUGCUUUCGUGCUUUCUUGCUUUCCUGUUUUCUUUCUUUCUUUCUUUCUUUUCUUUCUUUCUUGCUUGCUUUCCUGCUUGCUUGCUUUCGUGCUUUCUUGUUUUCUCGAUUUCUUUCUUUCUUUUGUUUCUUUCCUGCUUGCUUUCUUGCUUGCUUGCUUUCGUGCUUUCUUGCUUUCCUGUUUUCUUUCUUUCUUUCUUUCUUUUGUUUCUUUCUUGCUUGCUUUCUUGCUUGCUUGCUUUCGUGCUUUCUUGUUUUCUCGAUUUCUUUCUUUCUUUUGUUUCUUUCCUGCUUGCUUUCUUGCUUGAUUGCUUUCGUGCUUUCUUGCUUUCUUGUUUUCUUUCUUUCUUUUGUUUCUUUCUUUCUUGCUUCCUUGUUUUCUUGCUUUCUUGCUUGCUUGCUUUCGUGCUUUCUUGUUUUCUUGCUUUCUUUCUUUUGUUUCUUUCUUGCUUGCUUUCUUGCUUCCUUGUUUUCUUGCUUUCUUGCUUGCUUGCUUUCGUGCUUUCUUGCUUUCUUUUCUUUCUUUCUUUUCUUUUUCUUUCUUUCUUUCUUUCUUGCUUUCUUUUCUUUCAUUCAUUCCUUCUUUCUUUUCUUUCUUUCUUCCUUCCUUCCUUCCUUCCUUCCUUUCUUUCUUUCUUUCUGUUUCGUCCUUUUGAGACAGAGUUUCACUCUUGUUUCCACGGCUAGAGUGCAAUGGCGCGGUCUUGGCUCACCGCACCUUCCGCCUCCCGGGUUCGAGCGCUUCUCCUGCCUCAGCCUCCCGAUUAGCGGGGAUUACAGGGAGGCACCCCCACGCCUGGCUUGGCUGAUGUUUGUGUUUUUAGUAGGCACGCCGUGUCUCUCCAUGUUGCUCAGGCUGGUCUCCAACUCCCGACCUCCUGUGAUGCGCCCACCUCGGCCUCUCGAAGUGCUGGGAUGACGGGCGUGAGCCACCGUGCCCGGCCUGUUGACUCAUUUCGCUUUUUUAUUUCUUUCGUUUCCACGCGUUUACUUAUAUGUAUUAAUGUAAACGUUUCUGUACGCUUAUAUGCAAACAACGACAACGUGUAUCUCUGCAUUGAAUACUCUUGCGUAUGGUAAAUACGUAUCGGUUGUAUGGAAAUAGACUUCUGUAUGAUAGAUGUAGGUGUCUGUGUUAUACAAAUAAAUACACAUCGCUCUAUAAAGAA